CAGUCGAACGGAGCGCCUAUGAAGGAGAUUUCGGUCAACGGAAUAGGUUGCUUAGUGGCGGACGGGUGAGUAACGCGUGAGGAACCUGCCUUUCAGAGGGGGACAACAGUUGGAAACGACUGCUAAUACCGCAUAACACAUAGGUGUCGCAUGGCAUUUAUGUCAAAGAUUUAUCGCUGAAAGAUGGCCUCGCGUCUGAUUAGCUAGUUGGUGAGGUAACGGCUCACCAAGGCGACGAUCAGUAGCCGGACUGAGAGGUUGGCCGGCCACAUUGGGACUGAGAUACGGCCCAGACUCCUACGGGAGGCAGCAGUGGGGAAUAUUGGGCAAUGGGCGCAAGCCUGACCCAGCAACGCCGCGUGAAGGAAGAAGGCUUUCGGGUUGUAAACUUCUUUUGACAGGGAAGAGUAGAAGACGGUACCUGUCGAAUAAGCCACGGCUAACUACGUGCCAGCAGCCGCGGUAAUACGUAGGUGGCAAGCGUUGUCCGGAUUUACUGGGUGUAAAGGGCGUGUAGCCGGGUUGACAAGUCAGAUGUGAAAUCCUGCGGCUUAACCGCAGAACUGCAUUUGAAACUGUUGAUCUUGAGUACUGGAGAGGCAGACGGAAUUCCUAGUGUAGCGGUGAAAUGCGUAGAUAUUAGGAGGAACACCAGUGGCGAAGGCGGUCUGCUGGACAGCAACUGACGGU
rnacentral:rRNA from 1 species